GGAAUAUUGGUCAAUGGGCGGAAGCCUGAACCAGCCAAGUAGCGUGCAGGACGACUGCCCUAUGGGUUGUAAACUGCUUUUAUGCGGGGAUAAAGUGGGCCACGCGUGGCUUAUUGCAGGUACCGCAUGAAUAAGGACCGGCUAAUUCCGUGCCAGCAGCCGCGGUAAUACGGAAGGUCCGGGCGUUAUCCGGAGUUAUUGGGUUUAAAGGGAGCGUAGGCGGGCUGUUAAGCGUGUCGUGAAAAGCAUCGGCUCAACCGGUGUCGUGCGGCGCGGACUGGCGGUCUUGAGUGGGUAGAAAGCCGGCGGAAUUCGUGGUGUAGCGGUGAAAUGCUUAGAUAUCACGAAGAACUCCGAUUGCGAAGGCAGCUGGCUGUAUCCUUACUGACGCUAAAGCUCGAAAGCGCGGGUAUCGAACA
rnacentral:rRNA from 1 species